rnacentral:rRNA from 1 species
UACGUAGGGUGCAGGCGUUAAUCGGAAUUACUGGGCGUAAAGCGUGCGCAGGCGGUUUGCUAAGACAGGUGUGAAAUCCCCGGGCUUAACCUGGGAACUGCGCUUGUAACUGGCAAGCUUGAGUGUGGCAGAGGGGGGUGGAAUUCCACGUGUAGCAGUGAAAUGCGUAGAUAUGUGGAGGAACACCGAUGGCGAAGGCAGCCCCCUGGGUUAACACUGACGCUCAUGCACGAAAGCGUGGGGAGCAAACAGG